CCUGCCCCAGCGGGGAAGGGGCAUGCUGGCAGCACAGGGCCAGGCAGGCCACUGUGCGUCUGGCAACCGCUGGUUUGUAAAUAGUUACCUCACAUUGGACUGGGUGGAGUUGGG